rnacentral:lncRNA from 1 species
AAAACUAAAGCCAAUAGGUGAAUUUUUUUUUUCCCUAUCAGAUGGAAAUCCAAUGGUGAGGUGCGGCUCUCAUGAUCUAAUCAUUUCAAGCCUCUGAUGAGUAGGGUGCCCAGUAUCUGGGUCCUGCUGGAUGCCUCUCUUAAAGCCUUCUGCCAACAUGGUGGUGCCACUAAUUUUUGAGAACAUUCUUGCCUUGUCUAACACAUGAACUGUGGGGAGACACCUCGUACUCAACCAGAACAGAUUGAAAGGAAAACAAAGCAGCGAGAGAUGAUGGGACAGAGAGGGACAGGGCGCUGCUUCAGAAGGGCCAUCUGAGGAGGAGGAUCACGUGGAGACCUGUGUGGAAUGAGGUCGGGGGAGCCACAAGGCUGCAGGGAAGUGAGCAAGGGGAGGGGUGGGAAGCAAGGCCUGAAUUGGGGUCCCAGACAGCUCUGCUGCAGAUUUGAUAGUGUUUUCUUCUAGGAAUGAAAGGACAAUCACUGGAGGGUGUCUCGGGUAGAGGGAAAAUUCCAGGCGAAGUCUUUUAAUACCAACAGAGAAACCUGGACAAGAGACUACCUGUUCCCACUGUGCUCUCCAAAGGCUGAUGUACCAUGCCUCUCCUGGGCACUAUGGCUGUGGCCACCUGAAGAAGAGACCACAGGGGAAGACCACCGUGGCCAGGAGGAGGACAGGAUGCACAGCUGCUGUCACUCAUCUGUCCUCCUGCAAGCUCAGCCUCCCUACACAUCUUCAACCAUACUUCAGAUGCAGGAAAUAUGUGGCUGCACCUGUCCCCUUCUACUGUCAAGUGCUCUUAUUGUCAACAUGGUCUUGGAUGCAGUGCUCCACAGUGAGCGUGGGAUUUUGAAGAUGUGACAAAGUGACUUGCUACAUUCCUGACCCAGGAAUGUCCCAAAGGUCACUGUCCCCUUCUUCAGUGCCUGAGCUGUGGUCAUCCCUAUAUCCAGGACCCUCUUCUGAUCACUUCUUGCUACGUGCUUUCACCCAGGUCAUCCUUGAGCCAGAUCACUCCUUUCUAAAGCAGUAAUACCCACCAUGAUCUGUUUGCUUCCAUCACUCUCCAAUUGCCAAAGCCUGUGAGACAUCACUUGAAAUUGUGCUCCGGUGCCUCCUGUAAGCACGUCUCCUGCCUGCCAUCUGUUCAGCUCCGGCAAUGUGUCCAGAACCGCCUUGAUGUCUUCCUCGGAUUCACUUUGGUGCAUGACCCGCCCGACAGAGUUUAUUUACAUGGCUUCUGUUCCUGAGGAUUGGAUCUGCUCCAGGAACCCCGUGCUGGUUAGUGACUAGGAGCUGUCACUUGGUGUUUAUUGGAGCAUGUGUCACUGAUUCGGAGGAUGAACUUGAUGACAACCAAAGGCCCAGAUCUCAUAUCUCAAAAGGUAAACACACUGUGCCGCGCAUUGAAAAUAUUCUGCUUGUCUGAAACUUGGUGCUGGUUUACAUCUCUC